GAUGAAGAAUGCAGCGAAAUGCGAUAAGUAAUGUGAAUUGCAGAAUUCAGUGAAUCAUCGAAUCUUUGAACGCACAUUGCGCCCGCCAGUAUUCUGGCGGGCAUGCCUGUCUGAGCGUCAUUUCAACCCUCAUGCCCCUAGGGCGUGGUGUUGGGGAUCGGCCAAAGCCCGCGAGGGACGGCCGGCCCCUAAAUCUAGUGGCGGACCCGUCGUGGCCUCCUCUGCGAAGUAGUGAUAUUCCGCAUCGGAGAGCGAUGAGCCCCUGCCGUUAAACCCCCAACUUUCCAAGGUUGACCUCAGAUCAGGUAGGAAUACCCGCUGAACUUAAGCAUAUCAAUAAGCGGAGGA
rnacentral:misc_RNA from 1 species